UCCCUGGUAGUAUAUCGGUUAGUACACGCGCCUGUCAUGCUCUGAAAAUAGGUCGGCUGGUACGCGCGAAAGCUGGGUUCGACUCCCAGCCAGGGAG